rnacentral:rRNA from 1 species
CCUACGGGAGGCAGCAGUGGGGAAUAUUGCACAAUGGGGGGAACCCUGAUGCAGCGACGCCGCGUGGAGGAAGAAGCACUUCGGCGUGUAAACUCCUAUCAGCAGGGAAGAAAAUGACGGUACCUGAAUAAGAAGCCCCGGCUAACUACGUGCCAGCAGCCGCGGUAAUACGUAGGGGGCAAGCGUUAUCCGGAUUUACUGGGUGUAAAGGGGGCGCAGGCGGCAGUGCAAGUCAGAAGUGAAAGCCCAAGGCACAACCCAGGGACUGCUUUUGAAACUGUGCAGCUAGAGUGCAGGAGAGGUAGGUGGAAUUCCUAGUGUAGCGGUGAAAUGCGUAGAUAUUAGGAGGAACACCAGUGGCGAAGGCGGCUUGCUGGACUGUAAAUGACGUUGAGGCUCGAAAGCGUGGGGAGCAAACAGGAUUAGAUACCCUGGUAGUC